rnacentral:rRNA from 1 species
UACGUAGGGGGCAAGCGUUGUCCGGAAUCAUUGGGCGUAAAGCGCGCGUAGGCGGCCCUGUAAGUCCGUUGUGAAAGUCGAAGGCUCAACCUUCGAAAGCCGAUGGAUACUGCAGGGCUAGAGUCCGGAAGAGGCGAGUGGAAUCCUGGUGUAGCGGUGGAAUGCGCAGAUAUCAGGAGGAACACCAAUAGCGAAGGCAGCUCGCUGGGACGGUACUGACGCU